rnacentral:rRNA from 1 species
GACGAACGCUGGCGGCGUGCUUAACACAUGCAAGUCGAACGAUGAAGCGCCAGCUUGCUGGUGUGGGUUAGUGGCGAACGGGUGAGUAACACGUGAGUAACCUGCCCCCUACUCUGGGAUAACCCUGGGAAACUGGGUCUAUUACUGGAUAUGACCAAUCACUGCAUGGUGGGUUGGUGGAAAGAUGUUGUGUUGGGGGAUGGACUCGCGGCCUAUCAGCUUGUUGGUGGGGUAAUGGCCUACCAAGGCGACGACGGGUAGCCGGCCUGAGAGGGCGACCGGCCACACUGGGACUGAGACACGGCGCAGACUGCUACGGGAGGCAGCAGUGGGGAAUAUUGCACAAUGGGCGAAAGCCUGAUGCAGCGACGCCGCGUGAGGGAUGACGGCCUGCGGGUUGUAAACCUCUUUCCCCAGGGACGAAGCUGACGUGACGGUACCUGGAGAAGAAGCACCGGCUAACUACGUG